rnacentral:rRNA from 1 species
GAGCUCCCAUGGCGCCUGUUUAUCAAAAACAUGGUUUUUUGGAAUUAUAAAAAAUCUGACCUGCUCAAUGCAUAUGUAAAUAGCCGCAGUAUUUUAACUGUGCUAAGGUAGCAUAAUCAUUUGUCUUUUAAAUUAAGUCUAGAAUGAAGGGUUUGACGAAGGAAAAGCUGUCUUUUUAUUAUAUAAUGAAUUUAAUUAAUUAGUAAAAAGGCUAAUAUAGAUUUGAAGGACGAUAAGACCCUAUUAAACUUAAUUUGAUGAUUUUACUGGGGCGGUAAUUUAAGAUGAAAAUCUUAUUUAGACAAAAUGUAAUUUAUUGACCCAAUAUUAUUGAGGAAAAGAUAAAGUUACUAUAGGGAUAACAGCUUAAUUUUUUUCUGAAGCUCAUAUUUAGAAAAAAGCUUAAGACCUCGAUGUUGAAUUAAAGUAUCUUUUUAGUGAAACAGUUAAAAUGAGAAAGUCUGUUCGACUUUUAAAUCUUUACGUGAUCUGAGUUCAGACCGGCCAUGGGAGC